AGGACAUUGCGCAGGAAGCGCCAAAGACAAUACGGAAACUCAGGGAAUCCACCAUGGAUGGUGGCGUAGCACGGAUGUCAGGAUAGAGGUCUGCAAAACCCCGCCCAAAAGGCGGGGUUUU
rnacentral:sRNA from 13 species